rnacentral:lncRNA from 1 species
GAUUAAAUUAAAUUGAUUAGAAUUUGGUUAGGAUUUGAUUUAGGAUUUGAUUUAGGAUUUAGGAUUUGUCUAGGAUUUGGUUUAAGAUUUAAGAUUUAGAAUUUGUCUAAGAUUUGUUUUAGGAUUUAAAAAUUGACUAUGAUUUGAUUUAGGAUUUAGGAUUUGUUUAGAAUUUAUCAAGGAUUUAGUUUAGGAUUUAGGAUGUAUUUAGGAUUUGAUUGAAGUCCAUUAGGAUUUCAAGUAGGAUUAAAUUAGAAUUUUAUUGAGAUUUAUUUAAGAUAUAUUUGUGAUUAUUCAAAUUUUUUUGAGAAUCUCUUAAAGAUUCUUUUUAAGGUUUAUUAUGGAUUUUCUUUAAAUAUCUUUGAAAUUUCUUAUUAUUUCUUUUGUAAUUUCUUUAAGAUUUAUUUUGAUUUUAAUUAAAGCUUAUUUAGUAUUAUUAAGGUUUAAUUAAAAGUUAUUU